AGGGUGCGCAGGCGGAAAAUUAAGUCAGUGGUGAAAUCCUGCAGCUUAACUGCAGAACUGCCAUUGAUACUGUUUUUCUUGAGUAUAGUUGAAGUGGGCGGAAUGUGUCAUGUAGCGGUGAAAUGCUUAGAUAUGACACAGAACACCAAUUGCGAAGGCAGCUCGCUAAGCUAUAACUGACGCUCAUGCACGAAAGCGUGGGGAUCAAACAGGAUUAGAUACCCUGGUAGUCCACGCCGUAAACGAUGAUUACUCGAUGUUGGCGAUAUACAGUCAGCGUCUAAGCGAAAGCAAUAAGUAAUCCACCUGGGGAGUACGAUCGCAAGGUUGAAACUCAAAGGAAUUGACGGGGGCCCGCACAAGCGGAGGAGCAUGUGGUUUAAUUCGAUGAUACGCGAGGAACCUUACCUGGGCUUGAACGUAUUAUGACAGAUGCCGAAAGGUAUUUUCUCUUCGGAGCAUUUUACGAGGUGCUGCAUGGCUGUCGUCAGCUCGUGCCGUGAGGUGUCGGGUUAAGUCCCAUAACGAGCGCAACCCCUAUUAUUAGUUGCCAUCAGGUAAUGCUGGGCACUCUAAUGAAACUGCCUACGCAAGUAGUGAGGAAGGUGGGGAUGACGUCAAGUCAGCAC
rnacentral:rRNA from 1 species